GACGAACCGUACGAACGUUAUUCGGAAUUACUGGGCUUAAAGAGUGCGUAGGCGGCUUGGCAAGUUGGGUGUGAAAUCCCUCGGCUCAACCGAGGAACUGCGCUCAAAACUGCCAGACUUGAGGGAGAUAGAGGUGAGCGGAACUGAUGGUGGAGCGGUGAAAUGCGUUGAUAUCAUCAGGAACACCGGAGGCGAAAGCGGCUCACUGGGUCUCUUCUGACGCUGAGGCACGAAAGCUAGGGGAGCGAACGGG
rnacentral:rRNA from 1 species